GGCCUACGGGACGCAGCAGUAGGGAAUAUUGCUCAAUGGGAGAAACCCUGAAGCAGCAACGCCGCGUGGAGGAUGAAGGUUUUCGGAUUGUAAACUCCUUUUGUUAGAGAAGAAAUGACGGUAUCUAACGAAUAAGCACCGGCCAACUCCGUGCCAGCAAACGCGGUAAUACGGAGGGUGCAAGCGUUACUCGGAAUCACUGGGCGUAAAGAGCGCGUAGGCGGGAUAGCAAGUUAGAUGUGAAAUCCU
rnacentral:rRNA from 1 species